UACGGAGGAUGCAAGCGUUAUCCGGAUUUAUUGGGUUUAAAGGGUGCGCAGGUUGUUUGAUAAGUCAGUGGUGAAAGUCUGUCGCUUAACGGUAGGAUUGCCAUUGAUACUGUUGGACUUGAAUAUGGAUGAGGUAGGCGGAAUGUGUAGUGUAGCGGUGAAAUGCAUAGAUAUUACACAGAACACCGAUUGCGGAGGCAGCUUACUAAUCCAUCAUUGACGCUGAGGCACGAAAGCGUGGGGAUCAAACA
rnacentral:rRNA from 1 species